rnacentral:rRNA from 1 species
GGUGAGAAUCCCGUCCUUGACAUGGACCCCCAAUGCUUUGUGAUACACUUUCAACGAGUCGAGUUGUUUGGGAAUGCAGCUCAAAAUGGGUGGUGAAUUCCAUCUAAAGCUAAAUAUUGGCGAGAGACCGAUAGCGAACAAGUACCGUGAGGGAAAGAUGAAAAGCACUUUGGAAAGAGAGUUAAACAGUACGUGAAAUUGUUGAAAGGGAAACGAUUGAAGUCAGUCAUGCUCUUUGGAUUAAGCCGUUCUGCGGUGUAUUUCAUUG